rnacentral:snoRNA from 1 species
AGUGUUGACGAACAAGAUCUGGUGGCUUACAUCCUCAACGGCCUCGACGACGACUACGAUCCGGUGGUGUCUGCACUCAUGGCGCGGGUGGAGCCGAUCUCAGUCGGUGAGCUGUAUUCACAGCUCCUGAACUUUGAAA